GGAUGAACGCUGGCGGUAUGCUUAACACAUGCAAGUCGAACGGAAUCUUUGGGGAUUUAGUGGCGGACGGGUGAGUAACGCGUAAGAAUCUACCUUCAGGUUGGGGACAACCACUGGAAACGGUGGCUAAUACCGAAUGUGCCGAGAGGUGAAAGGCUUGCUGCCUGAAGAAGAGCUUGCGUCUGAUUAGCUAGUAGGUGUGGUAAAGGCGCACCUAGGCGACGAUCAGUAGCUGGUCUGAGAGAAUGAUCAGCCACACUGGGACUGAGACACGGCCCAGACUCCUACGGGAGGCAGCAGUGGGGAAUUUUCCGCAAUGGGCGAAAGCCUGACGGAGCAAUACCGCGUGAGGGAGGAAGGCUCUUGGGUUGUAAACCUCUUUUCUCAGGGAAGAAAAAGAUGACGGUACCUGAGGAAUAAGCAUCGGCUAACUCCGUGCCAGCAGCCGCGGUAAUACGGAGGAUGCAAGCGUUAUCCGGAAUGAUUGGGCGUAAGGGUCCGCAGGUGGCAUUGUAUGUCUGCUGUUAAAGAGUCUGGCUCAACCAGAUCAAAGCAGUGGAAACUACAAAGCUAGAGUAUGGUCGGGGCAGAGGGAAUUCCUGGUGUAGCGGUGAAAUGCGUAGAUAUCAGGAAGAACACCGGUGGCGAAGGCGCUCUGCUAGGCCAAAACUGACACUGAGGGACGAAAGCUAGGGGAGCGAAUGGGAUUAGAUACCCCAGUAGUCCUAGCCGUAAACGAUGGAUACUAGGCGUAGCUCGUAUCGACCCGAGCUGUGCCGUAGCUAACGCGUUAAGUAUCCCGCCUGGGGAGUACGCAGGCAACUGUGAAACUCAAAGGAAUUGACGGGGGCCCGCACAAGCGGUGGAGUAUGUGGUUUAAUUCGAUGCAACGCGAAGAACCUUACCAAGACUUGACAUGUCACGAAUUCCGUUGAAAGAUGGAAGUGCCUUAGGGAGCGUGAACACAGGUGGUGCAUGGCUGUCGUCAGCUCGUGUCGUGAGAUGUUGGGUUAAGUCCCGCAACGAGCGCAACCCUCGUUUUUAGUUGCCAGCAUUAAGUUGGGCACUCUAGAGAGACUGCCGGUGACAAACCGGAGGAAGGUGGGGAUGACGUCAAGUCAGCAUGCCCCUUACGUCUUGGGCUACACACGUACUACAAUGCUCCGGACAAAGGGCAGCUACACAGCGAUGUGAUGCGAAUCUCAUAAACCGGAGCUCAGUUCAGAUCGAAGGCUGCAACUCGCCUUCGUGAAGGAGGAAUCGCUAGUAAUUGCAGGUCAGCAUACUGCAGUGAAUUCGUUCCCGGGCCUUGUACACACCGCCCGUCACACCAUGGAAGUUGGUCACGCCCGAAGUCGUUACCCCAACC
rnacentral:rRNA from 1 species